GCCGGGUGUGGUGGUGCACGCCUGUAAUCCCAGCUACUCAGGAGGCUGAGGUAGGAGAAUCACUUGAACCUGGGAAGCGGGGGUUGCAGUGAGCUGAGAUCGCGCCACUGCACUCCAGCCUGGGUGACAGAGCGAGACUCUGUCUCAG
rnacentral:sRNA from 1 species